UGUUCCCUAUUUUCCAAUUGCAAUCAGGUACUUAGGUACUUUUUGACCCCACAGAAAAAAACAAAAACAAAAACAGAAAAACCUAACAUUCAAAACUACCAAUAACAGGAAGGAGAGGAAAAAAAAAUUUGAGAAUGAAAUGUUUCCCACCAUAGUGGACUCUUAAGCACAUUCUCCAC